rnacentral:piRNA from 1 species
UGAGAGUAUCUCCAUCGAUUGGUACAGC